UGAACACAUUACUGAGCAAGUGGGGUGCCCCGAGACAGCAUGCAAGCUCCACGCCCUUCCCACCCCUUCCUCUAGGCAUCUCUUCCAUCUGGCUGUUCCUGAGUGAUACCUUUUUAUAAUAAGCCAGUAAUCCACUGUGGGCCACUCCGAGCUUCCCAUGACUUGCUCCUGAACCCUUCUAGCCAUGGUCUCUUUUGGAUUUCCAGAACUCUCCUGCCUGUUGGCCCAGAGAUGCCUGGGGAAGAUGUGACAGAGGGAAGAUGAAAGAGACGCUAGGAGCUUGAAGGGCCACUGAUCAAAGCCGCGCUUAUCUGAAAACAGCAUGAAGACAAUGCAGUCACACUUGUCAGCAGCCCCUGGGCCUCGCUCAGGCAGCAAGCGCUCCUCAAUGCUUGACUGUGAAAGUUCAGAGGUGUGCAGUGGAGUCACUAAACCUCUGAUCACCUAGCCCUCUUAGGAGACUGGGUGGCUGAGGUUAAUAGAGGGGCUGUCUAGCAUGA